CCUACGGGAGGCUGCAGUGGGGAAUAUUGGACAAUGGGGGCAACCCUGAUCCAGCCAUGCCGCGUGUGUGAAGAAGGCCCUCGGGUUGUAAAGCACUUUCAGUGAGGAAGAACGCCUGGUGGUUAAUACCCAUCAGGAAAGACAUCACUCACAGAAGAAGCACCGGCUAACUCCGUGCCAGCAGCCGCGGUAAUACGGAGGGUGCGAGCGUUAAUCGGAAUUACUGGGCGUAAAGCGCGCGUAGGUGGCUUGAUAAGCCGGUUGUGAAAGCCCGGGCUCAACCUGGGAACGGCAUCCGGAACUGUCAAGCUAGAGUGCAGGAGAGGAAGGUAGAAUUCCCGGUGUAGCGGUGAAAUGCGUAGAGAUCGGGAGGAAUACCAGUGGCGAAGGCGGCCUUCUGGACUGACACUGACACUGAGGUGCGAAAGCGUGGGUAGCAAACAGGAUUAGAUACCCUGGUAGUC
rnacentral:rRNA from 1 species